rnacentral:ncRNA from 1 species
AUGUGAAUAGAAGGAGAGAUUGUUUAGCACUCCCCUGAACAAGGACGGAUGUACUCAGGUGGACACAGAAGUCCUCCAAGGCUCCAUUUUUUU